GGAGCCGGGGUGUAGUGGUCAAACAUGGAACCCUGUCAAGGUUCAGAGCGCGGGUUCGAAUCCCGUCGGCUCCGCCA
rnacentral:tRNA from 1 species